rnacentral:tRNA from 1 species
AAGGGAGACCUAAUUCAGGUAGGAGACGAAAAAAUAGUAGUCCCAACCAAGAAUCAAUCCCAAAAGGUCGGAGCGAGGCGAAAUUGGCUUUCAAACUAGGUUCUGGGUUCAAACAAGACCUGAAUCAGGAACAAGGGCUAUUAGCUCAGGUGGUUAGAGCGCACCCCUGAUAAGGGUGAGGUCCCUGGUUCGAGUCCAGGAUGGCCCACCUGCACAGGUGGCAAAAACAAAGAAGAGAAGCUCCGAAUCAGCACCUUAUCUUAUCUAUAGAUAAGAGAGAAUGCUGGCUCUGAGUUCAGAGUCCAGAGGAACCUUGAAAACUGCAUAGAGCUAGGUGAAAAAGCCAAAAAAGAAGACCGCAA